rnacentral:rRNA from 1 species
AGAGUUUGAUCCUGGCUCAGAUUGAACGCUAGCGGGAUGCCUUACACAUGCAAGUCGAACGGCAGCACGGACUUCGGUCUGGUGGCGAGUGGCGAACGGGUGAGUAAUGUAUCGGAACGUGCCUAGUAGCGGGGGAUAACUACGCGAAAGCGUAGCUAAUACCGCAUACGCCCUACGGGGGAAAGCAGGGGAUCGCAAGACCUUGCACUAUUAGAGCGGCCGAUAUCGGAUUAGCUAGUUGGUGGGGUAACGGCUCACCAAGGCGACGAUCCGUAGCUGGUUUGAGAGGACGACCAGCCACACUGGGACUGAGACACGGCCCAGACUCCUACGGGAGGCAGCAGUGGGGAAUUUUGGACAAUGGGGGAAACCCUGAUCCAGCCAUCCCGCGUGUGCGAUGAAGGCCUUCGGGUUGUAAAGCACUUUUGGCAGGAAAGAAACGUCAUGGGUUAAUACCCCGUGAAACUGACGGUACCUGCAGAAUAAGCACCGGCUAACUACGUGCCAGCAGCCGCGGUAAUACGUAGGGUGCAAGCGUUAAUCGGAAUUACUGGGCGUAAAGCGUGCGCAGGCGGUUCGGAAAGAAAGAUGUGAAAUCCCAGAGCUUAACUUUGGAACUGCAUUUUUAACCACCGAGCUAGAGUGUGUCAGAGGGAGGUGGAAUUCCGCGUGUAGCAGUGAAAUGCGUAGAUAUGCGGAGGAACACCGAUGGCGAAGGCAGCCUCCUGGGAUAACACUGACGCUCAUGCACGAAAGCGUGGGGAGCAAACAGGAUUAGAUACCCUGGUAGUCCACGCCCUAAACGAUGUCAACUAGCUGUUGGGGCCUUCGGGCCUUGGUAGCGCAGCUAACGCGUGAAGUUGACCGCCUGGGGAGUACGGUCGCAAGAUUAAAACUCAAAGGAAUUGACGGGGACCCGCACAAGCGGUGGAUGAUGUGGAUUAAUUCGAUGCAACGCGAAAAACCUUACCUACCCUUGACAUGUCUGGAAUUCCGAAGAGAUUUGGAAGUGCUCGCAAGAGAACCGGAACACAGGUGCUGCAUGGCUGUCGUCAGCUCGUGUCSUGAGAUGUUGGGUUAAGUCCCGCAACGAGCGCAACCCUUGUCAUUAGUUGCUACGAAAGGGCACUCUAAUGAGACUGCCGGUGACAAACCGGAGGAAGGUGGGGAUGACGUCAAGUCCUCAUGGCCCUUAUGGGUAGGGCUUCACACGUCAUACAAUGGUACAUACAGAGGGCCGCCAACCCGCGAGGGGGAGCUAAUCCCAGAAAGUGUAUCGUAGUCCGGAUUGGAGUCUGCAACUCGACUCCAUGAAGUUGGAAUCGCUAGUAAUCGCGGAUCAGCAUGUCGCGGUGAAUACGUUCCCGGGUCUUGUACACACCGCCCGUCACACCAUGGGAGCGGGUUCUGCCAGAAGUAGGUAGCCUAACCGUAAGGAGGGCGCUUACCACGGCAGGGUUCGUGACUGGGGUGAAGUCGUAACAAGGUAGCGUA